rnacentral:rRNA from 1 species
AUGGCCCUCCUCCCAAAAUCUACCUCUGCAACCUCACCUGAUGCCUUCAGGCCCAUAUCCUUGCAAAACUGCCCGGUCAAAGCCAUUGCCAAGGUUCUCACAUCGCGACUUCAACCCUUCAUCCCACUUCUAGUACACGGUAAUCAAACUGGAUUCAUUCCUGGGAGGAACAUUGCCGAAAACUAUGUCUUUGCAGCAGAUCUCAUCAGCUCUUGCCACUCUCGCAAACGCCCCACCAUGAUCUUCAAACUUGACUUUAGGAAAGCCUUCGACUCGCUUGCCUGGAACGCCCUAGACAAAAUCCUGGCUGUCCGUGGCUUCUCCCAAACUUUUCGUAACUGGAUUCAGAAUAUGCUCAACACUGGCAAGACUGCCAUCCUCCUAAACGGCAUCCCAGGUCGAUGGAUUCCAUGUAAGAAUGGACUGCGCCAGGGAGACCUGGCCUCCCCCUACCUUUUCCUAAUUGUUGCCGAUCUGCUCCAACAACUUAUCCUUCAAAACCCUGAUCCUAAUCUUCACCAUCCCAUCUUCACCCACCUACCCCCUACCAUUCUUCAAUACGCUGACGACACGUUGAUCGUUGCUGCUGCCUCACCCAACGCUGCUGCCACACUCAAGAAUAUACUCCAGCACUUUUCCCAGGCUACUGGCCUCACCAUAAACUUCUCAAAAACCACCCUAGCAACCCCGCAUACAAAUGAAACCCUAGCUGCCAGCAUUGCCCUUGCCAUGGAUUGCAUGCGUGCCUCCCUUCCUCAAACAUACCUCGGCCUCCCCCUCGCCCCGACCAAGCCACCAUCCAAUGCAUUCGCCCCGCUGAUUGAACGUACUCGCAAACUUCUCACCGGCUGGUGA